rnacentral:rRNA from 1 species
UGGGGAAUAUUGGACAAUGGGGGCAACCCUGAUCCAGCCAUGCCGCGUGCGUGAAGAAGGCCCUAGGGUUGUAAAGCGCUUUCGGCGGGGAAGAUGAUGACGGUACCCGCAGAAGAAGCCCCGGCUAACUCCGUGCCAGCAGCCGCGGUAAUACGGAGGGGGCUAGCGUUGUUCGGAAUUACUGGGCGUAAAGGGCGCGUAGGUGGAUCUUCAAGUCAGGGGUGAAAGGCCUGGGCUCAACCUGGGAACUGCCUUUGAAACUGAAGAUCUAGAGUCCGAGAGAGGAUAGUGGAAUUCCCAGUGUAGAGGUGAAAUUCGUAGAUAUUGGGAAGAACACCAGUGGCGAAGGCGGCUAUCUGGCUCGGUACUGACGCUGAGGCGCGAAAGCGUGGGGAGCAAACAGGAUUAGAUACCCCCGUAGUCC